rnacentral:rRNA from 1 species
UACAGAGACUGCAAGCGUUGUUCGGAUUCAUUGGGCGUAAAGGGUCCGUAGGCGGUCGGUUAAGUCGGAUGUGAAAUCUCGUGGCCUAACCACGAGCGGUCAUUCGAAACUAAUCGGCUAGAGGGCUGGAGAGGAGACUGGAAUUCAUGGUGUAGCAGUGAAAUGCGUAGAGAUCAUGAGGAAGACCAGUGGCGAAGGCGGGUCUCUGGACAGUUCCUGACACUGAGGCACGAAGGCCAGGGGAGCAAACGGG